rnacentral:ncRNA from 1 species
GAUAACAGGCUGAUCUUCCCCAAGAGCUCACAUCGACGGAAAGGUUUGUCACCUUGAUGUUGCCUCUUCGCCACGUGGGGCAGUAGUAUGUUUCAAGGGUUGGGAUGUUCACCCAUUAAAGCGGUAUGUGAGAUGGGUUUAGAACGUCGUGAGACAGUUC